AAAACAUUAAAUGUAGGGAAGUGUGGACGUUGUGUAUGGCAGACUGAACUUGAGCUGUUGUAAGCAGUGAUAGAAUGAAAUACAAUUUAAUGUUGUACUGAUUCUACUGCUCCGAACUUAAAUAUCACCCUGUUGAGAAGAGUUAUAUAGUGCAGUCAGGAGGUAUCCGAAUAGCAGUAAGAUGGUGACUAUUAGAUCAAUCUAAUAAAUACAUUCUGUGAUAGAAC